GCGGCCUACUAUGCAGUCGACGCCCCGCAAGGGGAGUGGCUACGGGUGAGUAACGCGUGGGAACAUACCCUUUCCUGCGGAAUAGCUCCGGGAAACUGGAAUUAAUACCGCAUACGCCCUACGGGGGAAAGAUUUAUCGGGGAAGGAUUGGCCCGCGUUGGAUUAGCUAGUUGGUGGGGUAAAGGCCUACCAAGGCGACGAUCCAUAGCUGGUCUGAGAGGAUGAUCAGCCACAUUGGGACUGAGACACGGCCCAAACUCCUACGGGAGGCAGCAGUGGGGAAUAUUGGACAAUGGGCGCAAGCCUGAUCCAGCCAUGCCGCGUGAGUGAUGAAGGCCUUAGGGUUGUAAAGCUCUUUCACCGGAGAAGAUAAUGACGGUAUCCGGAGAAGAAGCCCCGGCUAANUUCGUGCCAGCCGCCCCGGUACUACCACCGCUCCUCCCG
rnacentral:rRNA from 1 species